UUUGUCACCAUUUUCACAUCUGCCAUGUCCUUAAAUCCCCCCUGAACCUCCCCAGGGCUUUUCCUCCCCCACCAGGGGAUGCCCCUCGUGCCCCUCACACCUGGAACCCCAAAUUUGGGACCCCACACUCAGCUGCUGCCCCAAAACCCCAUGGAUUUGUCCCAAACCCUUGAGCCAGCUGCAAAACCCCCUCCUGGUACCAUUUUGGGUGGAUAAAUGGGAUUAUUCCUGUGGGAGGAUGCAUGGAGGCGGCUGCAGGGGGAAGUUUGGUGCUGGAUUUUGCUGAAUUUUGCCGAAUCUGACCCGAUUUUUACCAAAAUACUCAGGCAGCUCCUCAGGAAACCCAAAGCUUUGUCAGCUCUUCCGCGAUUUCUCUUCUCCUUCUGCUUUUUCUCUGAGCCCCAGGGCUGGGCUGGGCCCAUUUCCUGCCCUUCCCCUCCUGCCACUGAGGAGUUUCUGCUGCUGAAAAUCAGAUUUUCCCCAUUUGUUUAUCCCAACGUGUGGGAUGGAGCCCCCAGGAUUGCUGCCCUGCAGGGUUUUAGGGUUUGGCUGCAUCCCCUGGCACGUUUCACUGCCCUGGCCUGGAUUUUGGGGCGAAUUUGGGGUUUUUCUUGCAGGAAAAGGGGAAUUUGUGUCCCAGGGGGAUGGGAGGAAGCACAUGGAGAGGUGGGAGGAAAUCAGAGCCUUGAGGAGCAAACGCUUUUUAUUCACCUCAGCUCCUCUUCCAGGAGGAGGGAAGGGAGGGAAAAGACCCUGAAAAUUAAAGUUUUCCAUCCGAAGAUAAGCACGGCCCCAAAACCUCUUUUUUCAUCGUUUAACAUCAUCCCAAUUCCCCAUUCUGAGGCCUCUUCAAGGGCUGAUCUCCAAACUGAGCAUCCCAAACCCAAAAAUCCCCCCGAGCUCCGGGGCAGGGCCUGUCCCAGGUGGGAUUUGGGGUUCCCGAGGGUUUCUGUGCUUUCUGGGAUCACAAAAACCCUCAGGAUCAGCCCAGGAUUUCUGCCUGCCUGGAAAUCCAGCCCUGGGGCUGCCCAAGGGGAUGGAAAAGAGUAAAAAAAUCGGGGAAAAAAUGGGGAAAAGGAACAAUUCCCAUUGCCCGGCCUGGCUGGGACACCCGCGGGGGCUGCGGAUGCAAAUGCGGCGGGAGCGGGGUAAGGAGAUCGCGGGGAUUAAAUUUUCAGUGNNNNNN
rnacentral:lncRNA from 1 species